UAGGCUAUUAUGCCGGGUUCCUGACGAGUGCUACCUUUGUUGGCACUUUUCUCGGCUGUUUCAUGUGGGGGAGACUGUCGGACAUUGUUGGCAGAAGACCCAUACUGCUGAGUAGCGCCACGGUACUGCUGGUGGGGACUGUGCUAGUGGGCUUCAG